rnacentral:rRNA from 1 species
UUAAGCGACUAAGCGUACACGGUGGAUGCCCUGGCAGUCAGAGGCGAUGAAGGACGUGCUAAUCUGCGAAAAGCGUCGGUAAGGUGAUAUGAACCGUUACAGCCGGCGAUGUCCGAAUGGGGAAACCCAGUGCAAUUCGUUGCACUAUCGUUAACUGAAUACAUAGGUUAACGAGGCGAACCGGGGGAACUGAAACAUCUAAGUACCCCGAGGAAAAGAAAUCAACCGAGAUUCCCCCAGUAGCGGCGAGCGAACGGGGAGCAGCCCAGAGUCUGAAUCAGCUUGUGUGUUAGUGGAACGGUCUGGAAAGUCCGACGGUACAGGGUGAUAGUCCCGUACACCAAAAUGCACAGGCUGUGAACUCGAAGAGUAGGGCGGGACACGUGGUAUCCUGUCUGAAUAUGGGGGGACCAUCCUCCAAGGCUAAAUACUCCUGACUGACCGAUAGUGAACCAGUACCGUGAGGGAAAGGCGAAAAGAACCCCGGCGAGGGGAGUGAAAAAGAACCUGAAACCGUGUACGUACAAGCAGUGGGAGCACCUUCGGGUGUGACUGCGUACCUUUUGUAUAAUGGGUCAGCGACUUAUAUUCUGUAGCAAGGUUAACCGUAUAGGGGAGCCGCAGGGAAACCGAGUCUUAACUGGGCGUUAAGUUGCAGGGUAUAGACCCGAAACCCGGUGAUCUAGCCAUGGGCAGGUUGAAGGUUGGGUAACACUAACUGGAGGACCGAACCGACUAAUGUUGAAAAAUUAGCGGAUGACUUGUGGCUGGGGGUGAAAGGCCAAUCAAACCGGGAGAUAGCUGGUUCUCCCCGAAAGCUAUUUAGGUAGCGCCUCGUGAACUCAUCUUCGGGGGUAGAGCACUGUUUCGGCUAGGGGGUCAUCCCGACUUACCAACCCGAUGCAAACUACGAAUACCGAAGAAUGUUAUCACGGGAGACACACGGCGGGUGCUAACGUCCGUCGUGAAGAGGGAAACAACCCAGACCGCCAGCUAAGGUCCCAAAGUCAUGGUUAAGUGGGAAACGAUGUGGGAAGGCACAGACAGCCAGGAUGUUGGCUUAGAAGCAGCCAUCAUUUAAAGAAAGCGUAAUAGCUCACUGGUCGAGUCGGCCUGCGCGGAAGAUGUAACGGGGCUAAACCAUGCACCGAAGCUGCGGCAGCGACACUAUGUGUUGUUGGGUAGGGGAGCGUUCUGUAAGCCUGCGAAGGUGUGCUGUGAGGCAUGCUGGAGGUAUCAGAAGUGCGAAUGCUGACAUAAGUAACGAUAAAGCGGGUGAAAAGCCCGCUCGCCGGAAGACCAAGGGUUCCUGUCCAACGUUAAUCGGGGCAGGGUGAGUCGACCCCUAAGGCGAGGCCGAAAGGCGUAGUCGAUGGGAAACAGGUUAAUAUUCCUGUACUUGGUGUUACUGCGAAGGGGGGACGGAGAAGGCUAUGUUAGCCGGGCGACGGUUGUCCCGGUUUAAGCAUGUAGGCUGGUUAUCCAGGCAAAUCCGGAUAAUCAAGGCUGAGGUGUGAUGACGAGGCACUACGGUGCUGAAGUAACAAAUGCCCUGCUUCCAGGAAAAGCCUCUAAGCAUCAGGUAACAUCAAAUCGUACCCCAAACCGACACAGGUGGUCAGGUAGAGAAUACCAAGGCGCUUGAGAGAACUCGGGUGAAGGAACUAGGCAAAAUGGUGCCGUAACUUCGGGAGAAGGCACGCUGGUGUGUAGGUGAAGUCCCUGCGGAUGGAGCUGAGACCAGUCGAAGAUACCAGCUGGCUGCAACUGUUUAUUAAAAACACAGCACUGUGCAAACACGAAAGUGGACGUAUACGGUGUGACGCCUGCCCGGUGCCGGAAGGUUAAUUGAUGGGGUUAUCCGUAAGGAGAAGCUCUUGAUCGAAGCCCCGGUAAACGGCGGCCGUAACUAUAACGGUCCUAAGGUAGCGAAAUUCCUUGUCGGGUAAGUUCCGACCUGCACGAAUGGCGUAAUGAUGGCCAGGCUGUCUCCACCCGAGACUCAGUGAAAUUGAACUCGCUGUGAAGAUGCAGUGUACCCGCGGCAAGACGGAAAGACCCCGUGAACCUUUACUAUAGCUUGACACUGAACAUUGAGCCUUGAUGUGUAGGAUAGGUGGGAGGCUUUGAAGCGUGGACGCCAGUCUGCGUGGAGCCAACCUUGAAAUACCACCCUUUAAUGUUUGAUGUUCUAACGUUGGCCCCUGACCGGGGUUGCGGACAGUGUCUGGUGGGUAGUUUGACUGGGGCGGUCUCCUCCCAAAGCGUAACGGAGGAGCACGAAGGUUAGCUAAUCCUGGUCGGACAUCAGGAGGUUAGUGCAAUGGCAUAAGCUAGCUUGACUGCGAGCGUGACGGCGCGAGCAGGUGCGAAAGCAGGUCAUAGUGAUCCGGUGGUUCUGAAUGGAAGGGCCAUCGCUCAACGGAUAAAAGGUACUCCGGGGAUAACAGGCUGAUACCGCCCAAGAGUUCAUAUCGACGGCGGUGUUUGGCACCUCGAUGUCGGCUCAUCACAUCCUGGGGCUGAAGUAGGUCCCAAGGGUAUGGCUGUUCGCCAUUUAAAGUGGUACGCGAGCUGGGUUUAGAACGUCGUGAGACAGUUCGGUCCCUAUCUGCCGUGGGCGCUGGAGAAUUGAGGGGGGCUGCUCCUAGUACGAGAGGACCGGAGUGGACGCAUCACUGGUGUUCGGGUUGUCAUGCCAAUGGCACUGCCCGGUAGCUAAAUGCGGAAGAGAUAAGUGCUGAAAGCAUCUAAGCACGAAACUUGCCCCGAGAUGAGUUCUCCCUGAGACU